rnacentral:rRNA from 1 species
AAGAAGGCCUUCGGGUUGUAAACCUCUUUCAGGGAGGGAACGAAGUCCACUCGGGGUUAAUAGCCCAGAGGGUGACGGUACCUCCAGAAGAAGCCCCGGCUAACUACGUGC